UAUUGAACUAACAGCCUCAAAAUCACACAUGAUGGCCUCGCUCAAGAUUGCAUUGCUUCUCUCUGUUGGCCUCUUUGGCUCUGCUCUGACUUCUGCUGCUGAAGUCAUGAAACUGGAUUCUGAUGCUUUGAAAACCGAUACUCAGAAUGGGGAAGUCUGCCAAAACUGCACCGAAAUAUUUGAACUCCUUACUGACCUGUUUUCCAAUGCAG